CCCCUCUCAGGACUGCACCUGGAGGGUUUCCAGUACUCUACUAGUCUCAGCUACAGGAGGGAAAAUCAAGCAGAUGCAAACUCUUUCCAUUCCUAGCUUGAGCAGUGGCUAGAGAGUGGAAGGCAACCUGCUACAAGU